UGCAAGUCGAACGAGAGAAUUGCUAGCUUGCUAAUAAUUCUCUAGUGGCGCACGGGUGAGUAACACGUGAGUAACCUGCCCCCAAGAGUGGGAUAGCCCCGGGAAACUGGGAUUAAUACCGCAUAAAAUCGCAAGAUUAAAGCAGCAAUGCGCUUGGGGAUGGGCUCGCGUCCUAUUAGUUAGUUGGUGAGGUAACGGCUCACCAAGGCGAUGACGGGUAGCCGGUCUGAGAGGAUGUCCGGCCACACUGGAACUGAGACACGGUCCAGACACCUACGGGUGGCAGCAGUCGAGAAUCAUUCACAAUGGGGGAAACCCUGAUGGUGCGACGCCGCGUGGGGGAAUGAAGGUCUUCGGAUUGUAAACCCCUGUCAUGUGGGAGCAAAUUAAAAAGAUAGUACCACAAGAGGAAGAGACGGCUAACUCUGUGCCAGCAGCCGCGGUAAUACAGAGGUCUCAAGCGUUGUUCGGAAUCACUGGGCGUAAAGCGUGCGUAGGCGGUUUCGUAAGUCGUGUGUGAAAGGCGGGGGCUCAACCCCCGGACUGCACAUGAUACUGCGAGACUAGAGUAAUGGAGGGGGAACCGGAAUUCUCGGUGUAGCAGUGAAAUGCGUAGAUAUCGAGAGGAACACUCGUGGCGAAGGCGGGUUCCUGGACAUUAACUGACGCUGAGGCACGAAGGCCAGGGGAGCGAAAGGGAUUAGAUACCCCUGUAGUCCUGGCAGUAAACGGUGCACGCUUGGUGUGCGGGGAAUCGACCCCCUGCGUGCCGGAGCUAACGCGUUAAGCGUGCCGCCUGGGGAGUACGGUCGCA
rnacentral:rRNA from 1 species